UGGGGAAUAUUGCACAAUGGGCGAAAGCCUGAUGCAGCGACGCCGCGUGAGUGAUGACGGCCUUCGGGUUGUAAACCUCUUUCAGCAGGGACGAAGCGCAAGUGACGGUACCUGCAGAAGAAGCACCGGCUAACUACGUGCCAGCAGCCGCGGUAAUACGUAGGGUGCAAGCGUUGUCCGGAAUUACUGGGCGUAAAGAGUUCGUAGGCGGUUUGUCGCGUCGUUUGUGAAAACCAGCAGCUCAACUGCUGGCUUGCAGGCGAUACGGGCAGACUUGAGUACUGCAGGGGAGACUGGAAUUCCUGGUGUAGCGGAGAAAUGCGCAGAUAUCAGGAGGAACACCGGUGGCGAAGGCGGGUCUCUGGGCAGUAACUGACGCUGAGGAACGAAAGCGUGGGUAGCGAACAGG
rnacentral:rRNA from 1 species